rnacentral:tRNA from 1 species
GCGCCAGUAGCUCAGCUGGAUAGAGCACCAGACUUCGGAUCUGGGUGUCAGGGGUUCGAAUCCUCUCUGGCGCACCA